AUUGAACGCUGGCGGCAUGCUUUACACAUGCAAGUCGAACGGCAGCACGGACUUCGGUCUGGUGGCGAGUGGCGAACGGGUGAGUAAUACAUCGGAACGUGCCCAGUUGUGGGGGAUAACUACUCGAAAGAGUAGCUAAUACCGCAUGAGAACUGAGGUUGAAAGCAGGGGAUCGUAAGACCUUGCGCAACUGGAGCGGCCGAUGGCAGCUUAGGUAGUUGGUGGGAUAAAAGCUUACCAAGCCGACGAUCUGUAGCUGGUCUGAGAGGACGACCAGCCACACUGGGACUGAGAAACGGACCAGACUCCUACGGGAGGCAGCAGUGGGGAAGUUUGGACAAUGGGCGAAAGCCUGAUCCAGCAAUGCCGCGUGCAGGAUGAAGGCCUUCGGGUUGUAAACUGCUUUUGUACGGAACGAAAAGCUUCGGGCUAAUACCCUGGAGUCAUGACGGUACCGUAAGAAUAAGCACCGGCUAACUACGUGCCAGCAGCCGCGGUAAUAC
rnacentral:rRNA from 1 species